rnacentral:misc_RNA from 1 species
UUUCCGUAGGUGAACCUGCGGAAGGAUCAUUACUGAGUGAGGGCCCCUCGGGGUCCAACCUCCCACCCGUGUUUAACGAACCUUGUUGCUUCGGCGGGCCCGCCUCACGGCCGCCGGGGGGGAUCUGCCCCCGGGCCCGCGCCCGCCGACGCCACCUGUGAACGCUGUCUGAAGUAUGCAGUCUGAGACAAUUAUUAAAUUAAUUAAAACUUUCAACAACGGAUCUCUUGGUUCCG